rnacentral:ncRNA from 1 species
CUACGGACUUAAGCUAUUGAGCCUUGCGGGAGAAAUCCCACAAGUGAAUGCUCUCAAAUUCAGGGAAACCUAAUUCUACUGCGGUAGAUAUGGCAAUCCUGAGCCAAGCCGAACGGCAAUCUCCUUUCGGAAGGUGCAGAGACUCGACGGGAGCUACCCUAGCGAAGGCGGUGCAUCCAAGCCGCUUCGUGGGUAAAGGGAGAGUCCGAUUCUCCAGGGG